GCCCGAAUAGCUCAGAUGGUUAGAGCACACCGCUGAUAACGGUGAGGUCUCUGGUUCGAGUCCGGAUUCGGGCA
rnacentral:tRNA from 1 species